AACGCGAAGAACCUUACCUGGGCUCGAACGGCUUAAGAACAUCUUUGGAAACAGAGACUUCCCGCAAGGGACUUGAGUCGAGGUGCUGCAUGGCUGUCGUCAGCUCGUGUCGUGAGAUGUUGGGUUAAGUCCCGCAACGAGCGCAACCCUUGUCCUGUGUUGCCACUCCGUAAGGAAGCACUCGCAGGAGACCGCCAGCGAUAAGCUGGAGGAAGGUGGGGAUGAUGUCAAGUCAUCAUGGCCUUUAUGUCCAGGGCUACACACGUGCUACAAUGGGCGGUACAAAGCGCUGCAAACCCGCGAGGGGGAGCUAAUCGCAAAAAACCGUUCUCAGUUCGGAUCGCAGGCUGCAACUCGCCUGCGUGAAGCUGGAAUCGCUAGUAAUGGCGUAUCAGAAUGAUGCCGUGAAUACGUUCCCGGGCCUUGUA
rnacentral:rRNA from 1 species